rnacentral:rRNA from 1 species
CUACGGGUGGCUCCAGUGGGGAAUAUUGGACAAUGGGGGAAACCCUGAUCCAGCAAUGCCGCGUGUGUGAAGAAGGCCUGCGGGUUGUAAAGCACUUUCGGUUGGGAGGACUGCUUCUAGCACUAAUAUUGUUGGAAGUUGACGUUACCUUCAGAAGAAGCACCGGCUAACUCCGUGCCAGCAGCCGCGGUAAUACGGGGGGUGCAAGCGUUAAUCGGAAUUACUGGGCGUAAAGCGCGCGUAGGCGGCUAGAUCAGUCGGGUGUGAAAGCCCCGGGCUUAACCUGGGAACUGCACCCGAUACUGUCUAGCUUGAGUACAGGAGAGGAGAGUGGAAUUCCACAUGUAGCGGUGAAAUGCGUAGAUAUGUGGAGGAACACCAAUGGCGAAGGCAGCUCUCUGGCCUGAUACUGACGCUGAGGUGCGAAAGCGUGGGGAGCAAACAGGAUUAGAUACCCUAGUAGUC